UCGUGAACCCAAUCGGGCAUUCUACGAUGAUAAUCUGAGCUUCCUCGAAGAUGAGACGUUCUACUCUGAAGACCUUUCCGGCGGCUCUUCCUUGGACGAUAGAAGGUUCGUGGUAGGCCAGGCCCUGCGCAGGAUGGGUGAAACGAGUUACCCGAUGUCAGAAUACUCACAGGAUACAUCGGAAGGAUUUGGAGCUCAGAAUUACAUAAGACCGUACGUCACGGACGGCAUGGAUGGGGAAGCCAUUGAAAGGAACCCACUACCUGCCUCACACAUGUGGUAAUUGGAAUACGCAGUGCCAAAAUGCGAUUUUUAUUCCUACCAUACAUCGAGAGGGAUGUGUAAUUAUUUAUUGAUACUGUACAUAAUGCGAUAAAUAUUAGACCAAUGAUGCGCUAUAUGAAGUGAUGAAAUAUAUGUCAAUAGAGACUGAAAGUUUAUUGAAUAAUAUUUUGUAUUCUUUAUCUAAUAAGGGUAAUAUAUACAACACUCCUCUAAUAAUAUUUUGUAAGUUGAUUUUCUUUCCCAUGAAACCAUGAAAAUGAAUGGAAUGUAAUAGUCUUCUGAUAAUAAAUAAGUAUAUGUCUAUGCAAACCUGGUAGUAAAUAUGUGUACACAUUUAGAAACAGAAAAACGAAUCGUUAAAUAGUAUACUUAAUUAUCGGUGAUCAAAAAGCUAGUCCAUAUUAAAUGUAAAGUCUUCCACACACUGAAGUUUUUUAUGUGUCUUUGAGUGACCUUAAAUUCAUGUAAAGGACUUCCAGAAAAAAACAUGAGUUCAUAUAUUUUUUAAAGUUAUAUCGUAUGAGGAUUACAAAAUAUAAUUUUACGUGUUAUUUCUAUCUUAAUUGUAUUCAAGUUUCGGGCAUUACGGUUAUUCAGAAGAAAAAAAUAUAUGAUCAUGAAUUUAUGAUUUUAAAAUUUUGUAUUUUUUUUGUUCGUUUAUUAUCGCAAUCUAUAAAAGGACUGUGUGUUAUUUUCUUAACAAAAAGCUCAUGUUCCGAAUAGGGCAAUUGCUGCUUUAAUGAUAAAAAACAUGUAAUUGAUGCAUGUUAUUGACAAUAAUUUUGGUUCAAUAAAAAAAUACUACAGUAUUGAUUUUUGUAUAAUGAUUCAUAUUCGUGAACUGCUCUAGUUUUAAUGAAAAUGUGGAAUCGUUUUACGACACCCUUAGAAUUACUUUACAUUUAAUCUACAUCGUUUUAAACUUAGGUAAGGCUUAUCUAGACUCAGCCGGUA